rnacentral:rRNA from 1 species
AUUGACCUCGGAUCAGGUAGGGAUACCCGCUGAACUUAAGCAUAUCAAUAAGCGGAGGAAAAGAAACCAACAGGGAUUGCCCUAGUAACGGCGAGUGAAGCGGCAACAGCUCAAAUUUGAAAUCUGGCUCCUUUGGGGUCCGAGUUGUAAUUUGUAGAGGGUGCUUUGGCGUUGGUUGUGGUCUAAGUUCCUUGGAACAGGACGUCACAGAGGGUGAGAAUCCCGUACGUGGCCGCCAGCCUUCGCCGUGUAAAGCCCCUUCGAUGAGUCGAGUUGUUUGGGAAUGCAGCUCUAAAUGGGAGGUAAAUUUCUUCUAAAGCUAAAUAUUUGCCAGAGACCGAUAGCGCACAAGUAGAGUGAUCGAAAGAUGAAAAGCACUUUGGAAAGAGAGUCAAAAAGCACGUGAAAUUGUUGAAAGGGAAGCGCUUGCAGCUAGACGUGCCUUGGGUUGAUCAGCCGGACUUUUGCCCGGUGCACUCUUCCUUUGGCAGGCCAGCAUCAGUUUGGGCGGCUGGAUAAAGGUCUGUUAAACGUGACUUCCUUCGGGGAGAGCUUAUAGGGCAGACGACAUGCAGCCAGCCUGAACUGAGGUCCGCGCAUCUGCUAGGAUGCUGGCAUAAUAGCUGUAAGCGGCCCGUCUUGAAACACGGACCAAGGAGUCUAACAUCUAUGCGAGUGUUUGGGUGUCAAGCCCGAGCGCGUAAUGAAAGUAAACGGAGGUGGGAACCUUUUAGGUGCACCAUCGACCGAUCUUGAUGUCUUCGGAUGGAUUUGAGUAAGAGCAUAGCUGUUGGGACCCGAAAGAUGGUGAACUAUGCCUGAAUAGGGUGAAGCCAGAGGAAACUCUGGUGGAGGCUCGCAGCGGUUCUGACGUGCAAAUCGAUCGUCAAAUUUGGGCAUAGGGGCGAAAGACUAAUCGAAC